UACGUAGGGGGGCAAGCGUUGUCCGGAUUUAUUGGGCGUAAAAGAGCGUGUAGGCGGCCAUACAGGUCAGCUGUGAAAACUCGAGGCUCAACCUCGAGACGUCGGUUGAAACCGUAUGGCUAGAGUCCGGAAGAGGAGAGUGGAAUUCCCGGUGUAGCGGUGAAAUGCGCAGAUAUCGGGAAGAACACCCGUGGCGAAGGCGGUUCUCUGGGACGGUACUGACGCUGAGACGCGAAAGCGUGGGGA
rnacentral:rRNA from 1 species